rnacentral:rRNA from 1 species
CCUACGGGAGGCUGCAGUGGGGAAUAUUGGACAAUGGGCGAAAGCCUGAUCCAGCCAUGCCGCGUGUGUGAAGAAGGCCUUCGGGUUGUAAAGCACUUUCAGUGGGGAAGAAAGCCUUGGGGCUAAUACCCUCGAGGAAGGACAUCACCCACAGAAGAAGCACCGGCUAACUCCGGGCCAGCAGCCGCGGUAAUACGGAGGGUGCGAGCGUUAAUCGGAAUUACUGGGCGUAAAGCGCGCGUAGGCGGUCUGAUAAGCCGGUUGUGAAAGCCCCGGGCUCAACCUGGGAACGGCAUCCGGAACUGUCAGGCUAGAGUGCAGGAGAGGAAGGUAGAAUUCCCGGUGUAGCGGUGAAAUGCGUAGAGAUCGGGAGGAAUACCAGUGGCGAAGGCGGCCUUCUGGACUGACACUGACGCUGAGGUGCGAAAGCGUGGGUAGCAAACAGGAUUAGAUACCCGUGUAGUC